rnacentral:rRNA from 1 species
AGAGUUUGAUCCUGGCUCAGGAUGAACGCUGGCGGCGUGCUUAACACAUGCAAGUCGAACGAGGUCCAACCUUCGGGUGAAGACCGAGUGGCGAACGGGUGAGUAACACGUGGGGAACCUGCCCUUCUCUCUGGGAUAACCUCGGGAAACCGAAGCUAAUACCGGAUACUCCUUGCGGACCGCAUGGUCUGCUCGGGAAAGCUCCGGCGGAGAAGGAUGGCCCCGCGGCCCAUUAGCUUGUUGGUGGGGCAACGGCCCACCAAGGCGACGAUGGGUAGCCGAGCUGAGAGGCUGAUCGGCCACACUGGGACUGAGACACGGCCCAGACUCCUACGGGAGGCAGCAGUGGGGAAUCUUGCGCAAUGGGCGAAAGCCUGACGCAGCAACGCCGCGUGCGGGAUGAAGGCUCUCGGGUCGUAAACCGCUUUCAGCAGGGAUGAAAAUGACAGUACCUGCAGAAGAAGCCCCGGCUAAAUACGUGCCAGCAGCCGCGGUAAUACGUAUGGGGCAAGCGUUAUCCGGAUUCAUUGGGCGUAAAGCGCGCGUAGGCGGCUUGUUAAGUCAGGCGUGAAAUCCGGGGGCUCAACCCGCGGCUUGCGUCUGAAACUGGCAGGCUUGAGUCUGGUAGAGGAAAGUGGAACUCCUGGUGUAGCGGUGAAAUGCGCAGAUAUCAGGAGGAACACCAGUGGCGAAGGCGGCUUUCUGGGCCACGACUGACGCCGAGGCGCGAAAGCUAGGGGAGCGAACAGGAUUAGAUACCCUGGUAGUC